ensembl:snRNA U1 U1 spliceosomal RNA
GUAUUCACCUGGCAAAGGAGACACCAUGUUCAAGGCAGGUGGUUUUCCCAGAAAGAGGCUCACACAUUGCACUCGGGAUGUGCUGGCCCCUGAGAUUCCCACGUACAUAGGAAACUUCCAUGAUUUGUGGUAGUGAGGGACUGUAUUAGCUCUCUCUCC